GAUGAAUGCUGGCGGCGUGCCUAACACAUGCAAGUCGAGCGGCAGCGAGGGGUUCUUGCACCCUGUCGGCGAGCGGCGAACGGCUGAGUAACGCGUAGGAAUUUGCCCCAAAGUGAGGAAUAACUGCCCGAAAGGGUAGCUAAUGCCGCAUAUGGUCUUCGGAUUACAGGAUUUAUCCGCUUUGGGAGAAGCCUGCGUUGGAUUAGGUUGUUGGUAGGGUAAUGGCCUACCAAGCCGACGAUCCAUAGCUGGGCUGAGAGGAUGAGCAGCCAGACUGGAACUGAGACACGGUCCAGACUCCUACGGGAGGCAGCAGUGAGGAAUCUUCCACAAUGGGCGAAAGCCUGAUGGAGCAACGCCGCGUGAAGGAUGAAGGCCUUCGGGUUGUAAACUUCUUUUAUGAGUGAAGAAUAUGACGGUAACUGAUGAAUAAGCACCGGCUAACUACGUG
rnacentral:rRNA from 1 species